rnacentral:rRNA from 1 species
UACGUAGGUGGCAAGCGUUAUCCGGAAUUAUUGGGCGUAAAGAGCGCGCAGGUGGUUGAUUAAGUCUGAUGUGAAAGCCCACAGCUUAACCGUGGAGGGUCAUUGGAAACUGGUCGACUUGAGUGCAGAAGAGGGAAGUGGAAUUCCAUGUGUAGCGGUGAAAUGCGUAGAGAUAUGGAGGAACACCAGUGGCGAAGGCGGCUUCCUGGUCUGUAACUGACACUGAGGCACGAAAGCGUGGGGAGCAAACAGGAUUAGA